rfam:Cuculus canorus isolate BGI_N303 unplaced genomic scaffold scaffold98, whole genome shotgun sequence.
CAGUGAUUUCAGCUCUUUUAGUAUUUGUCCAGUAGGUUUCCUGUUAAACGGGAAGCCUCG